rnacentral:rRNA from 1 species
UACGGAGGAUGCGAGCGUUAUCCGGAUUUACUGGGUGUAAAGGGAGCGUAGACGGCAGGGCAAGUCUGGAGUGAAAGCCCGGGGCCCAACCCCGGGACUGCUUUGGAAACUGUGUAACUUGAGUACAGGAGGGGCAGGCGGAAUUCCUGGUGUAGCGGUGAAAUGCGUAGAUAUCAGGAGGAACACCGGCGGCGAAGGCGGCCUGCUGGACUGAAACUGACGUUGAGGCUCGAAAGCGUGGGGAGCAAACAGG